UGAAUAGACUCAGAUACUUUGUUUUGAAGGGAGUGCAGAAAUCCUGCAGGUUUAAUUGCCAAUAAAUCAGCAUGACCUCUACUCCCUGGCAGGCCUUUUCUACAAUGAUCUUUUCAACCAGAAAAUGAAGAGAUGGAUUUUACAGUGUGUGCUUACUGCCUAUGUGCAACCUGCUGUGUCGGGAGGUCAUGUUGUUUUGGGCG
rnacentral:lncRNA from 1 species